rnacentral:rRNA from 1 species
CCUACGGGCGGCAGCAGUGGGGAAUAUUGGGCAAUGGACGAGAGUCUGAACCAGCCAAGUAGCGUGAAGGAUGACUGCCCUAUGGGUUGUAAACUUCUUUUAUAUGGGAAUAAAAUGUUCCACGUGUGGGAUUUUGUAUGUACCAUAUGAAUAAGGAUCGGCUAACUCCGUGCCAGCAGCCGCGGUAAUACGGAGGAUCCGAGCGUUAUCCGGAUUUAUUGGGUUUAAAGGGAGCGUAGGUGGAUUGUUAAGUCAGUUGUGAAAGUUUGCGGCUCAACCGUAAAAUUGCAGUUGAAACUGGCAGUCUUGAGUACAGUAGAGGUGGGCGGAAUUCGUGGUGUAGCGGUGAAAUGCUUAGAUAUCACGAAGAACUCCGAUUGCGAAGGCAGUUCACUGGACUGCAACUGACACUGAGGCUCGAAAGUGUGGGUAUCAAACAGGAUUAGAUACCCGGGUAGUC